GUGCCAGCCGCCGCGGUAAUACGUAGGCACCAAGCGUUGUCCGGAUUUAUUGGGCGUAAAGAGCUCGUAGGCGGUUCGGUAAGUCGGGUGUGAAAACUCUGGGCUCAACCCAGAGAGGCCACCCGAUACUGCCGUGACUGGAGUGCGGUAGGGGAGUGGGGAAUUCCUGGUGUAGCGGUGAAAUGCGCAGAUAUCAGGAGGAACACCAGUGGCGAAGGCGCCACUCUGGGCCGUAACUGACGCUGAGGAGCGAAAGCGUGGGUAGCAAACAGGAUUAGAAACCCCUGUAGUCC
rnacentral:rRNA from 1 species